AACGAACGCUGGCGGCAGGCUUAACACAUGCAAGUCGAACGCCCCGCAAGGGGAGUGGCAGACGGGUGAGUACCGCGUGGGAAUCUACCCAUCCCUACGGAAUAACGCAUGGAAACGUGUGCUAAUACCGUAUACGCCCUACGGGGGAAAGAUUUAUCGGGGAUGGAUGAGCCCGCGUUGGAUUAGCUAGUUGGUGGGGUAAAGGCCUACCAAGGCGACGAUCCAUAGCUGGUCUGAGAGGAUGAUCAGCCACAUUGGGACUGAGACACGGCCCAAACUCCUACGGGAGGCAGCAGUGGGGAAUAUUGGACAAUGGGCGCAAGCCUGAUCCAGCCAUGCCGCGGGAGUGAUGAAGGCCUUAGGGUUGUAAAGCUCUUUCACCGGAGAAGAUAAUGACGGUAUCCGGAGAAGAAGCCCCGGCUAACUUCGUG
rnacentral:rRNA from 1 species